rnacentral:tRNA from 1 species
GCCGGGGUAGCCUAGCCAGGCCAAGGCGGUGGCCUCGAGAGCCACUGGGCGGAAGCCCGCGUGGGUUCAAAUCCCACCCCCGGCG